rnacentral:lncRNA from 1 species
ACGAGGGGAAAACAGACAGUGGGAUAUGGUGAAACCGUGACGGUUGGUGAAUGAGACUUUGAUCCAAUGACAUUAAAGCAGAUGAGCCACCCAAAACUAAUAUACAGUGUCUACUGCAGAAGACGUGUGCUCUUCACCAGUCUGUGGACCAGGAAACGAGCCGCUGGGGAUCUCAGUCGCAAGGGUGCUCAGGUGGCCUUGGUGCAGACACUCACAGCUCUCAGACUGCAGAGUGUGCCGGUCCUCGGAGAAGGGGUGUCCUUCAGGGCAGUGCUUCUCUGGCUGAUGCCACAGACUGGCUAGUGGAUGGCCAGACUCAUCACACUGACACCCCUGUUCACCUAAACCAGAUACAACCCCUUCCUGAUGCAUCUGUUGGUGCCAAAUCUUUUUUUUUUUUUUGUAGCUUUUUAUUAUUAAAACAGUCACUGCAAUUAUCAGGAGUCGUCUAAUGUACAGUGACUGCUAUUCCUAUUGCUGGUGAGUGAGAAU